AACAGAGCGAGCAAGCGUUAUUCAUAGGAACUGGGCCUAAAGGGUGUGUAGGCGGGCAUUAUUAAGAAGGCUUGAUAGCAAUGUUUGUGUAUCGACACAAAGCUAAUCUUGCAAUUUUUGCCUAUUGAGAUAUGUAGGAGUUAUGGGAAAGCAAUGUUGAAAGGGCGACAGUCCAAACAUAUUGAGUAACAUCAAAGGCGAAGGCAAAUAGCUGGACAUAAUCUGACGCUAAGGCACGAAGCUUGAGGAAGCGAGAUGG
rnacentral:rRNA from 1 species